rnacentral:tRNA from 8 species
GGCCCUAUCGUCUAGUGGCCUAGGACACUGCCCUUUCAAGGCAGGAACUGGGGUUCGAAUCCCCAUAGGGUCA